GAUGAACGCUGGCGGCGUGCCUAAUACAUGCAAGUCGAGCGAACAGACGAGGAGCUUGCUCCUCUGACGUUAGCGGCGGACGGGUGAGUAACACGUGGAUAACCUACCUAUAAGACUGGGAUAACUUCGGGAAACCGGAGCUAAUACCGGAUAAUAUAUUGAACCGCAUGGUUCAAUAGUGAAGGACGGUUUUGCUGUCACUUAUAGAUGGAUCCGCGCCGCAUUAGCUAGUUGGUAAGGUAACGGCUUACCAAGGCAACGAUGCGUAGCCGACCUGAGGGGGUGAUCGGCCACACUGGAACUGAGACACGGUCCAGACUCCUACGGGAGGCAGCAGUAGGGAAUCUUCCGCAAUGGGCGAAAGCCUGACGGAGCAACGCCGCGUGAGUGAUGAAGGUCUUCGGAUCGUAAAACUCUGUUAUUAGGGAAGAACAAAUGUGUAAGUAACUAUGCACGUCUUGACGGUACCUAAUCAGAAAGCCACGGCUAACUACGUG
rnacentral:rRNA from 1 species